rnacentral:rRNA from 1 species
AAAAGCUCGUAGUUGGAUCUCAGCUCCGGCCGGACGGUCUGCCAAACGGCGGUCACUGUCCGCAGCCGAGCGUUCGGGCGGUUAUUCUUGAUGAUCUUCACCGGUUGUCUCGGGUGACCGCCAAGUUUACUUUGAAAAAAUUAGAGUGCUCAAAGCAGGCGCGACGCCUGAAUAAUUGUGCAUGGAAUAAUGGAAUAGGACCUCUGUUCUAUUUUGUUGGUUUUCGGAACACGAGGUAAUGAUUAAGAGGGACAGACGGGGGCAUUCGUAUUGCGACGCUAGAGGUGAAAUUCUUGGACCGUCGCAAGACGAACUACUGCGAAAGCAUUUGCCAAGAAUGUUUCCAUUAAUCAAGAACGAAAGUUAGAGGUCCGAAGGCGAUCAGAUACCGCCCUAGUUCUAACCAUAAACGAUGCCAGCCAGCGAUCCGGCUGUGUUCCUCAAAUGACACGCCGGGCAGCUUCCGGGAAACCAAAGCGUUUGGGUUCCGGGGGAAGUAUGGUUGCAAAGCUUAAACUUAAAGGAAUUGACGGAAGGGCACCACCAGGAUUGGAGCCUGCGGCUUAAUUUGACUCAACACGGGGCAACCUACCCGGUCCGGACUCAAAAAGGAUUGACAGAUUGAGAGCUCUUUCUUGAUUUUGUGGGUGGUGGUGCAUGGCCGUUCUUAGUUGGUGGGGCGACUUGUCUGGUUAAUUCCGAUAACGAACGAGACUCCAGCCUGCUAAAUAGACGUUCCCAUCUUCUGCGUGGGACGGUCUUCUUAGAGGGACUAGCGGCGUCUAGCCGCACGAGACAGAGCAAUAACAGGUCUUGGAUGCCCUUAGAUGUCCGGGGCCGCACGCGCGCUACAUUGAAGGAAUCAGCGUGUGCUUUCCCUGUCCGAGAGGACUGGGUAACCCGUUGAAACUCCUUCGUGCUGGGGAUUGGCGGAUGUAAUUGACGCCAUGAACGAGGAAUUCCCAGUAAGCACGAGUCAUCAGCUCGUGUUGAUUACGUCCCUGCCCUUUGUGCACACCGCCCGUCGCUACUAUCGAUUGAAUGAUUUAGUGAGGUCUUCGGACUGGCGCUCGGAUUGGCCUCCGAGGUCGAGCCGACGUGCCGGAAAGAUGACCGAACUUGAUCACUUAGAGAAAGUAAAAGUCGUAACAAGGUUUC